AAGUAUAAGCAAUUAUACGGCGAAACUGCGAAUGGCUCAUUAUAUAAGUUAUCGUUUAUUUGAUAGUAUCAUAUAGCCUUCAUCCAUUCUCAAACUUUAAAUAUGUAAGAAGCCCUUGUUACUUGACAGAACGUGGGCAUUCGAAUGUAUCAGCACUAGUGGGCCAUUUUUGGUAAGCAGAACUGGCGAUGCGGGAUGAACCGAACGCGAGGUUAAGGUGCCAGAGUAGACGCUCAUCAGACACCACAAAAGGUGUUAGUACAUCUUGACAGCAGGACGGUGGCCAUGGAAGUCGGAAUCCGCUAAGGACUGUGUAACAACUCACCUGCCGAAUGUACUAGCCCUGAAAAUGGAUGGCGCUCAAGCGUCUCACCCAUACCUCGCCCUCAGGGUAGAAACGAAGCCCUGAGGAGGG
rnacentral:ncRNA from 1 species